rnacentral:rRNA from 1 species
UACGUAGGGCGCAAGCGUUGUCCGGAAUUAUUGGGCGUAAAGAGCUCGUAGGCGGCUUGUCACGUCGGAUGUGAAAGCCCGGGGCUUAACCCCGGGUCUGCAUUCGAUACGGGCUAGCUAGAGUGUGGUAGGGGAGAUCGGAAUUCCUGGUGUAGCGGUGAAAUGCGCAGAUAUCAGGAGGAACACCGGUGGCGAAGGCGGAUCUCUGGGCCAUUACUGACGCUGAGGAGCGAAAGCGUGGGGAGCGAGCAGG